rnacentral:rRNA from 1 species
CGGAGGAUGCAAGUGUUAUCCGGAAUCACUGGGCGUAAAGCGUCUGUAGGUGGUUUAGUAAGUCAACUGUUAAAUCUUGAAGCUCAACUUCAAAAUCGCAGUCGAAACUAUUAGACUAGAGUAUAGUAGGGGUAAAGGGAAUUUCCAGUGGAGCGGUGAAAUGCGUAGAGAUUGGAAAGAACACCGAUGGCGAAGGCACUUUACUGGGCUAUUACUGACACUCAGAGACGAAAGCUAGGGUAGCAAAUGGGAUU